rnacentral:rRNA from 1 species
AGUGAACGCUGGCGGUAGGCCUAGCACAUGCAAGUCGAACGGCAGCACAGUAAGAGCUUGCUCUUACGGGUGGCGAGUGGCGGACGGGUGAGGAAUACAUCGGAAUCUACUUUUUCGUGGGGGAUAACGUAGGGAAACUUACGCUAAUACCGCAUACGACCUACGGGUGAAAGCAGGGGAUCUUCGGACCUUGCGCGAUUGAAUGAGCCGAUGUCGGAUUAGCUAGUUGGCGGGGUAAAGGCCCACCAAGGCGACGAUCCGUAGCUGGUCUGAGAGGAUGAUCAGCCACACUGGAACUGAGACACGGUCCAGACUCCUACGGGAGGCAGCAGUGGGGAAUAUUGGACAAUGGGCGCAAGCCUGAUCCAGCCAUACCGCGUGGGUGAAGAAGGCCUUCUGGUUGUAAAGCCCUUUUGUUGGGAAAGAAAAGCAGCAGGUUAAUACCCCGCUGUUCUGACGGUACCCAAAGAAUAAGCACCGGCUAACUUCGUG